UGUCUUUUAGUAAUUUAUUUAAAGUCUAAUCUGCUCACUGAAAAUUUUAAAGAGCCGCAGUAUUUUGACUGUGCAAAGGUAGCAUAAUCAAUAGUUUUUUAAUUGGAAACUUGUAUGAAAGAUUGAAUGAAAAAAUGGUUUUCUCAGCAUAAAGUAAUGAAGUUAAAAUUUAAGUGAAAAUUCUUAGAUUUUUUAAAAAGACGAGAAGACCCUAUAGAUUUUUAUUAGUUUAUAGAUUAAUAAAAAAGUAAAUUGUUUAGGCUAAUUUAAUUGGGGCGAUUUUGUAAAAAAAUAAACUUAAUUUUAAUAAACCAAAAAUAAAUGAAUUUUUUGAUUUAAAAAUUUUAAAAAAAGAUUUAAUUACCUUAGGGAUAACAGCGUGAUUUUAUUAACGAGUUCAUAUCUACAAUAAAGUUUACGACCUCGAUGUUGAAUUAAGAUAAAAUGUUGGAGUAGAAAUUAAUGUUUUUAGUCUGUUCGACUAUUAAAUUC
rnacentral:rRNA from 1 species